GGUGAACGCUGGCGGCGUGCCUAAUACAUGCAAGUCGAGCGAACAGACGAGGAGCUUGCUCCUCUGACGUUAGCGGCGGACGGGUGAGUAACACGUGGAUAACCUACCUAUAAGACUGGGAUAACUUCGGGAAACCGGAGCUAAUCCCGGAUAAUCUCUUGAACCGCAUGGUGCAAUGGUGAAAGACGGUUUUGCUGUCACUAAUAGCUGGUUCCGAGCCGGAUUGGCUAGUUGGUACGGUCAAGGCUUACCAAGGCAACUAUGCGUAACCGACCUGUGGGGGUGGUCGGCCACCCUGGAACUGAGCCACGGUCCAGACUCCUACGGGAGGCAGCAGUAGGGUAUCUUCCGCAAUGGGCGAAAGCCUGACGCAGCAACGCCGCGUGAGUGAUGAAGGUCUUCGGAUCGUAAAACUCUGUUAUUAGGGAAGAACAAAUGUGUAAGUAACUAUGCACGUCUUGACGGUACCUAAUCAGAAAGCCACGGCUAACUACGUG
rnacentral:rRNA from 1 species